UCUGGUCUAAUUCUGACGCUGAGGAGCGAAAGCUAGGGGAGCAAACGGGAUUAGAUACCCCGGUAGUCCUAGCUAUAAACGAUGGAUACUAGGUGUGGGAGGUAUCGACCCCUUCUGUGCCGCAGCUAACGCAUUAAGUAUCCCGCCUGGGGAGUAUGGUCGCAAGGCUGAAACUCAAAGGAAUUGACGGGGGCCCGCACAAGCGGUGGAGCAUGUGGUUUAAUUCGACGCAACGCGAAGAACCUUACCGGGGCUUGACAUUGUCUUGCCCAUCUAAGAAAUUAGAUUUUCUUCCCUUCGGGGAAGACGAGAUAACAGGUGGUGCAUGGUUGUCGUCAGCUCGUGUCGUGAGAUGUUGGGUUAAGUCCCACAACGAGCGCAACCCUUGUCCUUAGUUGCCAGUUUGUUUACAAACGCACUCUAAGGAGACUGCCGCAGAUAAUGCGGAGGAAGGUGGGGAUGACGUCAAAUCAUCAUGCCCCUUACGUCCCGGGNUACACACGUGCUACAAUGGCCUGUACAGAGGGUUGCGAAAGAGCAAUACUCUAGCCAAUCCUUUAAACAGGCCCAAGUUNGGAUUGGAGGCU
rnacentral:rRNA from 1 species